rnacentral:rRNA from 1 species
AAAGGGCGUUUGGUGAAUGCCUUGGCAGUAAGAGGCGAUGAAAGACGUGAUACUCUGCGAUAAGCCGUGAGGAGCUGAGAAUAAGCUUUGAUCCACGGAUCUCUGAAUGGGGCAACCCACCUGAUACUGUGUUAUUAUUGAUCCCUCGGGGUCAGCUAAUAAUGCGGUAAAACAGGUACUUACAACCUGAAUACAUAGGGUUAUAAGAGCAAACCCGGGGAACUGAAACAUCUAAGUACCCGGAGGAAAGGACAUCAACCGAGACUCCGUUAGUAGUGGCGAGCGAACGCGGACCAGGCCAGUGGCUUUGGACGACCAACCGGAACUGUCUGGAAAGGCAGGCCAUAGUGGGUGACAGCCCCGUAUGGGUGUCGUCGUUCAAGGUCCUUGAGUAGGGCGGGACACGUGAA